rnacentral:lncRNA from 1 species
GGAUGGACAGUACCUGCACAUUGCGUAGACUCAAAGCGGCUGUAUUUCCAGUUCUCAAGUGUCGAUCAUUUUUAUGUCAGAAUAUGUCUUCCUCUUCCUCCUCCUCCGCCGGGUCCAUCUUAGACUUGGUCAUCGUCGUCGUUUUGCUCGUCCUCCUGCUCUGGGCCCGCACCAGAUUCCUUCAUCGUCGUCGUCGUCGUGGAUGCUCUGCAGUCGGCACUCCUCCACCCCCUAUUGCUCUUCUCGUCUCGUCCGCCACCGUCCCUAGCUUCUGCUUCCCUCUUGCGUAGUUCAUCAAGGGACCUAUCUGUCGGGAGCGGUUGAAUCCUCCAAAGGCGAUGGAGUGUAAACCCUAGUACAUCGUCGUCACUGUUUAUUUUAUUUUAUUUACUAUGAAAUGUGGUUUGGCCGGUAUGGGUGCGCCGGUGGAGCUGGUUUGGGGCGAAGUCGAGUGGGGAAUUACAUCGGGUUGGGGGAACGCAUGAAGUCACAGGGCGAUCAAGGCGGAUAGGUGGAUCAGCAGAAUGUGCAUGUGAGUGGAGUGCAGAAUUGUAGUUGACGAUCGCUUGCUGUGUGGUGGCUGGUAGCGAGGGUGUGAAAUUGAAAUUCGACGUGUGAAAUUCUAGUGGUGGUAGGAAGUGAAGGGUAAGUUUGGGGUGUGAACGCACUUGAUUGGCGUGCGGUUUCGUGGCAUGGCAUGAGGAAAUUGAAUCGAGUGCAUGGGGAUUUCUACACCGGGAUUUUGUUCUGUAGCUCCGUGUGAAAGGUCUGCCACUUUCAGUCCGGAUCGUUUCAGGUGUGGUAAAGAGGGCGGGGGGUGCUAUGUGUGUGAGGGCUCGAAAAUCAGCACGAUUCUGGUAGACAUGAGUGUGAUAUGUUGAUACAUAAGUGUUUCAUCCGAGUGCUGAUCUGUGCAUAGGAGAUACAGUCAUCUGUUGCUUGCCGUAGUUAGGGUUAGCUUAAGUGUACUAAAUCUGUGAAGAGUUUUGAUGCGUUGCAGAUGUUUGUGGGAUUGUAGAACUAUGAGGAUGCUAAGAAGUUUUGCAACAAGAAAUUGGGACAUUUUACAUGAUAUAUGAUGGAAGAAUAUAGUUUUUUAAGAAUUUUUGUGGAAAAAAAUAGUUUGUUGUAUUGGUAUCGUAUGGAUUGUUGAAGGAGAUAAAUACUUGAUUUUGGCAUAUAACAUGUUAUAGUAGAAUAUUUUGUUUGCUAAUAUAUUAUUUUUUGUGGUUGUAAUGGAUAUUAGGUUUAUUAUUAUAAUUUAUCUAAUUCAUGUAUUGGAUUUUGUGGUAUUACAAAUGAUUAUUAAAAUUUUGGAAUAAUGUAAGAAGCUUUCACCAAUAGGUAUACUAUAAUUUUUUUUAAUAUGAAUUUAUUAGUAUGUUGAAGUUUUUAUUGAAGUGAUUUUAUAUCUAAUAUGUUAAUUUUGCACUUAUUAUAAUUAAUUGUUUUACAAUGAAAAUUGUGAUGGAUUUGAUGAUUUUAAAAGAAUGAGUAUUAUCAUUAUAAAACUUGUAUAUAAAGAAAAAAAUAAGUUUAUUGGAUUAUUAUAUGUAGAGUUUUGAUUUGAUUUUGGUUUGUGUAAUAUUAUGUUGUGAUAAUUUUUGGCUAAUAUUAUUCUUUUGUGAUUGUAUUAGGUAUUA